rnacentral:rRNA from 1 species
UACGAAGGGGGCUAGCGUUGCUCGGAAUCACUGGGCGUAAAGGGUGCGUAGGCGGGUCUUUAAGUCAGGGGUGAAAUCCUGGAGCUCAACUCCAGAACUGCCUUUGAUACUGAAGAUCUUGAGUUCGGGAGAGGUGAGUGGAACUGCGAGUGUAGAGGUGAAAUUCGUAGAUAUUCGCAAGAACACCAGUGGCGAAGGCGGCUCACUGGCCCGAUACUGACGCUGAGGUGCGAAAGCGUGGGGAGCAAACAG